GCGAGCAUAGCCAAGCGGUCAAAGGCGACGGUCUGCAAAACCGUUAAUCAUCGGUUCAAAUCCGAUUGCUCGCUCCA
rnacentral:tRNA from 1 species